CCUGCCUGGACUGUAGCUGCGGCUCAUGGGGCCCUUUAUACACAGCGCCUGGCCCAAGAAGAGCAGGCUCCCUCCCAGGCCUGGACACGGCAGGACGGGGACCCUGGGCUCUUCCCAGGGUGGCUGAAGGCACUGCCUGGCCCCCAAACAGGGGCAGGACCUCGAGGACUGGCACGCGCCCCUCCUGAAGCCUGCACGCUUGCCCCUGGGGCCUGCCACUGCGGGGGCACUGAUAGAAUGUGCUGGAAGCUCUGCCCUCUGUUGGGUGGUGGCGCCCUGUGUGGUGAAACACAGAACUCGCCAGGAUGAUCUGCUGGCCCACGCCCGGCCCAGGGAGGAGCCAGGCUUCACGCUCACCCCUGCCGGGCAUGGUGACACCAUGGUGGCACUGGCACAAGGCUCCCCCAGCUCUGAGAUCCGCACACGCCUGCCCUGGGUGUGGGACAAGCUGGAUUCUGACAGAUCCCAGGUUUGACUUGUUUGUGUUCUGGAACUGCUAAUUGCAGGGCGCUUUGGCAAGAUGCGGUCAUCUCUGGCUCCUCAGUGACCUGCCCUCAGGCUCCCUGGUGGGUCUGACAGGGGGUCAGGGGAGGGCCCCGUCUCAGGGCCUGGCCUGAUUCUCAGCUUCAGACCCGCAUGGGGCCGCCUCGCCUCUCAGAGAGACGGAAGCAAGGUGCUGGCUCCAAGGGGAAGCACCCAGCCGAGUCCCCCGCAGUCCCCUAGAGGGGCAGAGUGGGGGGCUGGGCCACCUGCCUUCCAGGGCCCUCUGUUCUCAUUCCCUGGGGGCUCUGGGAGGACGGGCAGGGUAGCAGGUGACCCCAGAGGUGCCUGCGGCCUGACUCACAGCCGUCCACCCAGGGCUGGGCUGCCGCGGUGGUGGCUCCUCGGGGACGGUCCGCCUCUCUGGUUGCCCGGCCUGCCCCGUCCAGGGUGCCCUGAGCACUCAGGGCCUCCUGCGUCACCUCACCAGUGACCUGCCUUCUUGGCUGCUCCUGAUGGUCCUGCACUGGCCCCUUCUGGGAACUUCUUCCAGGGGCUGCUGAUCCCUGGGCAUCUGUCCUACCUUCCCCUGCCACGUCCACACACCUGCACUGGGGCUGAGCCGGAGGCCAUGGGGGGCUGACCCCACCACAAGCCCCUCACCUCCUGCUGCCUGGUGUGGGAGCUGCACAGGGCCAGCACCUGCUGUCCAGGUACAGGGGGGAGGGACAGGCCAGCCAGUUUCUAUCCUGGCAGCACCUCUGGGUGUGGCUGCCUCCUGGGGACCUGCCUGGGGACUCAACCUGGAGGACCUGACCCAGGGGACAUGACCAGGGACAACCUGAUCGGGGGACCUGACCCUGGGGACGUGACCCAGAGGACCUGACCUGGGCUACGGUGCUCUUUAGCUGGAGGGGUCCCCGAGAGGGACUUGGCGGAGAGCUGCUCUGGGGGCCCCUCAGCCUCAGUCCUGUGAAUCUGGGUGUCCACCGCAGUCCCUCUGUGUGGUCUUGGUGGCUGUGUGACUUUCCCACAUUCAGCCGAUGACAACCUCAGCCAAAUGCUACGGCCUCUGGGAAAUGCCCUGAGUUUUCUUCCUGCCUCUUUGAUGGAUAUUUAUAGUUUGUGCCAUUGAUAAGGAAUACAGCCAUUUUUCGCAGACUAGCACGGUGCCCUGUGCCCCACGGGGUGACCCUGCAGACAGCAGCUCCCUCAGGACCCACAGAGAGCCCGGAGCCCUCACCGCCACCCCAGCGUUGGGAUUCUCCCCAACACGUGCCGUCCUUGUGUUCCCUGGCUCUCGAGAGCUUUCCUGCCUGUCGGGGGUGGGGUGGGGUGGGGUGAAGAUGCAGCUGUUUGUGGAUGAAAUUAAAAGAGGCCCAUUAAUAAAUCAUGUGAACCCAUUAUUCUAAAAACUACGCUGGAAAGUGAGUUGACAUAUUACAAAUGCUGUGAUUUCUAUAUUGUGAUUACUUGUCUUUUUUAAAGCAGAAUGCAUUUUAAAUAACCAGACGAAUCCUCUGAUUAACCACUGUUUGCCUAGGGACCAUGCUCACGCCCCGGGAGAGGGGCUCUCCUCCAGAGCUAAGGGGGUCACUGGAAAAGUCCCCGAUGCCCACGGUCGUGGAGGUACUUCCUGCUGCUAGACCCUCGAGCUGCCCAUUAUCCCCAAAUUCAGUGUGGGUGCAACUGAGGCUGUCCCUUUGGUGGGCUGGCCGGCUCUCAGGACGGUCACCUCUUGUGGGUCAAAUCCUGGUGAGCACUGAUUCCACCUCUGCUUCCCCAGAUCUCAGGACCUUGUUCUCUGAGAAUUGCCUGCUCCAAAGCCCCUGGCAUCGCGGGGAUCUCCUGGGAGCCUGGACCCAGGAGGGUGGAGCUGAGAAGCGGCACUUCUGCAGAUUGAAAUUGAGCAAGGCUUCGCCAUGUUCUGGGCGCGGAGAAGAUCCCAGGAAGCCAGUGGCUUGUGGAUGGGUGAGCAGAUCCUGUCUGUGCAUGGAGGAGCUCAGUCCAGCCUCCCAACAGGCAGGAGCCCUGCAGUGCACAGUGACCCGGGUGGACCUGGAGGCCCUGGCGCUCAGGGGCCUGAGCCAAGCUCAGUAAGAAGCACCACUCUACCUCCUGGGGGCAGCAGAGGGUGGGCUCUAGGAGGCAGAGCACACGGUGGCUGCCAAGGCUGGGCAGGGCCACGGCACGUUGGCCCAAGGGGCCAAGUCCACGUGGGGUGGUCGGGGUCUUACUGACUGCAGUCAGGCCGCGUGUGCCAUCUGGAGACCUCCCACAUGCACAGAUGGGGCCGUGUGGUGCCGGGUGGAUGGCUGAUCAGCUCGCGGCUAAACCAUUUCACAGCGCGUGCGCUAAGCCAUCCCAGCGCUGCCCUCGAGAAAAACGAGUUCUAUUUGUCAAUUACACCCUAAAAAAAGCUGGGGGCAGGGGCAGGCACAGUGGCACAUGCCUGUAAUCCCACUGGUUUGGGAGGCUGAGCCAGGAGGAUCACGAGUUCAAAGCCAGCCUCAGCAACUCAGCGAGUCCCUGAGCAACUCAGCGAGACUCUUUCUAAAUUAAAAAGAAAGAAAAAAGGCUGGGGAUGUUGCUCAGUGGUCGAGUGCCCCUGGAUUCAAUCUCAGGUACCAACCAAUCAGUCAAUAAACAAACAAAUAAAUAAAAGCUGGGUGGAGAAAAGUAUCCCUGGUGCAGCCUGCCCCCACCACAAGAGGCAAUCGCUCCCCUUGUGGGAGGGGUUCAGACCUCUCAGCAGGUGGCCCCAGGACCUUUCUGCAUGUGCCUGGUCCUUGGCCCUCCUGUUGCCCCAUGAGGACACAGCCGGGCACUGCCUGGGCCCGAGUCACGGUGCAGGGUCGGCCAUCAGUCUCUCCCUCCUCCUCGACUCCACAUUUGGGGAUGGAAACUCCAGCUCUUGUCCGGGUCCUGCGGUCCUGGGCUGCAAGGGUGGCUGGGAUCACAACCACAGGGUGGCAUCUGGUGCCACAGAGACCUUCAUCUUCCUCUCUGCCCAGGACCCAGGAGAGGCGUCUCAGCCCCGGGGAGGCCAAUCAGAGGCUCUCGCAGGCCCAAGCCUUGGGCGCCCAGCUCAGCCCCACAGGGGCAACCUCGUCUAGGGGCACAGGGUCCAGGGGCUCCCGCCUGCCCUCCAGAGCGCCCCGGGGAAUGUGCCUGGACAGGUAGCCUUCUCUGCACAGAGGAUAUCUGAACUCGAAGACUUGGACUUGGUCUUUGUUUGAAAGCAUGUCUUUAUUAUAGAACCCAAACCUGCUCAUGAGAGGGGGUUUUCAGAAUACCCAGGCACAAAGGCAAAGGGCAGGGUGAGCCAUCUGUAAUGCGGCUGCCCAGAGGCGACUUCUGUUAAUUUUUUUUGGUGUAUUUCCUUCCUAAAGUUGUAUCUUUUUGAGGUUGUUGUGUAGAAAACAUGGCAACCAAGUCCCAGGCCCAAUCCUGCUCUUAAAAUAGAAAGCAGGCUCCUAAUCAGGAGUCUUUUCGCCAGGAGAGGCGAUACGUCUUAGCCAGGUUUGCGAGAGGAUGGUGUCUUCUCCCCCUUCCUUCUCGCGGCACAUUAAAUCAUGGAUGAAUACAAAUGAGUUCCUCAAUUAGAAUAAAAUACCAAGACGGUCCAGUGUGCUGCGUGGCCAUGGAGAGUUCAGCUGAUGGGGGAACCAGCAGGAGGAGCUGACGGGGCGCCCAGGGGGAGCCUGCUGGGCCCGGCCGCAGUCUGUGGGGAUGCGGCUGCUCCUCGGGAGCCCCCUGGAGGAGGUGGGUUAACUACUGAGGUCGGCCCAGCGCACACCCCGUGUGCACCCGCCAGGAGCCAGCCUGCACCGGCUUCUGGAACACUUCAGCAUGGGGCAGGACACCCCGGGCAGGCACUUAUGAGUUUAAUUCUGAGAUCAGUUCUCAGUGGUGAGGUGAGUGCGUUCCCCCCUAGGAGGGGCUCCGCCUGCUCCGAGGCCUCCAGGUCCCCUUCGCAGAUCUUCCUGGUCACCUCCCAUCAUGCAUCCAAGGAACCCUCACCUGGAGAGAGUUGCUGUGUCCAUGCCUGCCCCUGGCCGAUCUCAGC
rnacentral:lncRNA from 1 species